CCUACGGGUGGCAGCAGUGAGGAAUAUUGGUCAAUGGGCGCGAGCCUGAACCAGCCAAGUAGCGUGAAGGAUGACUGCCCUACGGGUUGUAAACUUCUUUUAUAAAGGAAUAAAGUGAGGCACGCGUGCCUUUUUGUAUGUACUUUCUGAAUAAGGAUCGGCAAACUCCGUGCAAGCAGCCGCGGUAAUUCGGAGGACACGAGCGUUAUCCGGAUUGAUUGGGUUUAAAGGGAGCGUAGAUGGGUUGUUAAGUCAGUUGUGAAAGUUUGCGGCUCAACCGUAAAAUUGCAAUUGAUACUGGCAGUCUUGAGUACAGUUGGGGUAGGCGGAAUUCGUGGUGUAGCGGUGAAAUGCUUAGAUAUC
rnacentral:rRNA from 1 species